GAGAGCCCGGGCGUCCGUCCGCCUGCGCUCGGCACCCGCCGGCGCGCACCCCAGCGCCGCAGCGCGCAGCCAGCUCCGCGGCCCCGGAGCAGCCGGGCGCGCCGCUCUCCGCCGGCCCCCUGCCCGCGCCCCCGGCCCGGGGCGCCGCCCUCCCCGCGCCGGACAGCGCCCGCGACUGAAUGAACACAGUGCUUGGCACAAAGAGCAUCAAAGGGAAACUUCUCUGCUCUCAUGCUGCCUCUGAACAGGCCUUGGCACCGGGCAUUUCACAAGUGUUUGGCAUACUGAAGUGGUAUUGGACCUCACUAAAUGAAAAGUAGAAGGAAUGCUUCUGCCCUGGAAACAAACUAAUUGAAUGAGACCACAGCUGGAAGAUGACUUGACCUUUGCUUCCAGCAAUCUUUCAGAUGCCUUUACUCCAAGUGAAGAAAGGACGUUUACAUCUACAAAGGUAAAGAAGACAAAGGGGAGAGGCUAUGAAGAGAGAGAGAGAUUAUUGGACUGUGAGACUUUCACUGACUUCUCACAAGAGCAGGAGCGUGAGGAGUGGGAGAGGUGAUAAAAACCAGUCAUUCAGUCUAUCAUAAUAUGAUUAUCACUGAGCUAACAGCCAUGGUCAUCUUCCUCUACUUUAUAUGUGGGACGCCUGCCAUAGCAUGGCUUGAUAAGUGGUGCAUACGUCCAUGCCUGGGAUCUGAACCUGAGAACCCUGGGUCACCAAAGUGGAGCACGAAUGUAACUACUAUGCCACUGGGCCAAUCCCUGGACUGAUCUCUUUUGGGUAGCAAGGAUUUUCUUAUUUCUCAACCAGGAUAAGGGAACCUGAACGAGACUCUGUUCUGUCUCAGGGAACCUGUUUAUUUCCAUGCUUUUGCAAAUCCUCAUUGCAGAAUAGCUGGAAACUAUCUCUUUUCAUGCUGUUUUCUUGCUUUAAUAUAUAUCAAUAACUCCCCCCUAGGUUACAAACAAAAAUACAGAUUUCUUAGCCUUCUCUUUUCUUCCCUUGUGUAUUUUUACAAACUCAGCUCUGACACUCCUUCUUUUUAGCUGCUUGGCUUCCUCAUCCAGUUCAUGGUGUUUCACGCCUCUGUGCCCUACAUGGCUAGUCUCUCCAAUUAGAUUGCCUUUCUCUGCUUGUAUGUUCAAUAAACGCCUAAUAUUCUCUGAUAAAUUUCUCUGUAAAGCUUUGUCAACCUUCGCCUCAUCUCAAGACUUCAGUUUUUCCCAGCUUAGCAUUUCCGCUGCACUUUGACACGUCUCUUGUCAUAUUGGUACUGUGUACUGUUCAUCUUACCACUAUCAUGUAAAUUCCUUGAAUGGAUGACGGUACCACAGCACCUAGAAUGUGUUUGAAGGUCCAUAAAUAAUUAAUGGAUAAUGAGAGGUAUUAUUAUCUUUAUUUCUAUUGCCCUUACCUACUUAAAAAGUUUUCUUUUCCUAGAUUUUUUUGGUCAAAAUAUGCUACAAUUGUGUAUUCUAUGUCAUAAACUAAUAUAAUUUUUAUGCAAACACUAUU